UACGAAGGGGGCUAGCGUUGCUCGGAAUCACUGGGCGUAAAGGGCGCGUAGGCGGUUCGUUAAGUUGCUGGUGAAAUCCCGGGGCUCAACUCCGGGGCUGCCAGUAAGACUGGCGGGCUAGAGCACGGUAGAGGCAGAUGGAAUUCCCGGUGUAGCGGUGGAAUGCGUAGAUAUCGGGAAGAAUACCGGUGGCGAAGGCGUUCUGCUGGGCCGUUGCUGACGCUGAGGCGCGACAGCGUGGGGAGCAAACAGG
rnacentral:rRNA from 1 species